UACGGGGGGAGCAAGCGUUGUUCGGAUUUACUGGGCGUAAAGGGCGCGUAGGCGGCCAGCACAAGUCAGUUGUGAAAUCUCCGAGCUUAACUCGGAAAGGUCAACUGAUACUGUGCGGCUAGAGUGCAGAAGGGGCAACUGGAAUUCUUGGUGUAGCGGUGAAAUGCGUAGAUAUCAAGAGGAACACCUGCGGCGAAGGCGGGUUGCUGGGCUGACACUGACGCUGAAGCGCGAAAGCCAGGGAGCGAACGGG
rnacentral:rRNA from 1 species